CACUGGAUGGUGUAGUCAGUCUGCACGCCGGUCUGAAAAGCCGGAGGUGUCGGCGCAAUCCCGACUCCAGUGGCCA
rnacentral:tRNA from 1 species